rnacentral:rRNA from 1 species
UACGUAGGGUGCAAGCGUUGUCCGGAAUUAUUGGGCGUAAAGAGCUCGUAGGCGGUCUGUUACGUCGGCUGUGAAAACCUGGGGCUCAACCCCGGGCCUGCAGCCGAUACGGGCAGACUAGAGUUCGGCAGGGGAGACUGGAAUUCCAGGUGUAGCGGUGAAAUGCGUAGAUAUCUGGAGGAAUACCGGUGGCGAAGGCGGCAUCCUGGACCCAUUACUGACGCUGAGGCGCGAAAGCUAGGGGAGCAAACGGG